rnacentral:snRNA from 1 species
AUCUCUUUCCAGUUCCUAAAGUGUACCGUGAUCAAUCAGGUGGUUUUCUCAGGGAUAUGUCCUCCAUCGGAGGUCUAUAUUGAGCAGAUUCUUUUUGGUGUUGGGUGGUGGUGGAACUGAAGCUUGCUCCAUCCACUCCAUGCAUUGACCUGGUAUUCCAGUGCUUCCAGGACCGGUGCAAAAAAA